GCGGGGCCCCGCGGAGGGGCCCGGCUUUGUGGAGGAUUAGAGGCUCCCGUCCCACCCUACCUGCGUGUGUGUCGCCUGUCUGGAACCGGGAGCUUCCCCAGCUGAGGACCAGAGUGAGAUCAGAGAAGGCCCAGGAUCGUAUUUGAAACCAUAAAAGCCACAUUAAGACACUAAGAAUAACUCACAGAAAGACAUUUUCUAUGAAUUGGACACAGAGUCACAAAACCCAGAAAGUUCCUUGGUCUCUAUCUCACGGGCCUGUGUCUAGGGAAGGGGGCCCGAUAUGAGGCUGGGGCCAGUGCCCAUCCUAUUUGAUCUUUAUCUUAAAUCCACUUCAAAAUGCUGUGGCUCGGCGGAUUGAAGGUUCGCCCCUUCCUAUAAUUAUUUGGUGUCUGGUAAAGUUUUUAUGAGUGUUUGUGCAAA
rnacentral:antisense_RNA from 1 species